GGACAGGUGUCUGAGCGGUCUAAAGAGACGGUCUUGAAAACCGUUGAGGGACAACCCUCCGCGAGUUCGAAUCUCGCCCUGUCCGC
rnacentral:tRNA from 1 species